GACGAACGCUGGCGGCGUGCUUAACACAUGCAUCGACGAAGCAGUGGCGAACGGGUGAGUAACGCAUCGGAACGUACCGAAUAAUGGGGGAUAACUGUCCGAAAGGACAGCUAAUACCGCAUAUUAUUCGAGCGGCCGUUGUCUGAUUAGCUGGUUGGCGGGGUAAAGGCCCACAAAGGCGACGAUCAGUAGCGGGACUGGGAGGGAGAUCCGCCCCACGGGGACUGAGAGACGGCCCAGACUCCUACGGGAGGCAGCAGUGGGGAAUUUUGGACAAUGGGCGCAAGCCUGAGCCAGCCAUGCCGCGUGUCUGAAGAAGGCCUUCGGGUUGUAAAGGACUUUUGUAAGGGAAGCGGUACCGGAAGAAUAAGCACCGGCUAACUACGUGCCAGAAGCCGCGGUAAUAC
rnacentral:rRNA from 1 species